rnacentral:tRNA from 1 species
GUCAAAAUGGCCGAGCGGUCUAAGGCACUGCGCUCAAGUCGCAGUAUAUUCUAUGGGCGUGGGUACGAAUCCCACUUCUGACA